rnacentral:tRNA from 2 species
GGUGCGGUAGCCAAGUGGUUAGGCGCUGGAUUGCAAAUCCAUGAACACCGGUUCGAAUCCGGUCCGCACCUCCA